AGGCGAGUAGCUCAAUUGGCUAGAGCACCGGUCUCCAAAACCGGGGGUUGUAGGUUCAAGUCCUACCUCGCCUG
rnacentral:tRNA from 1 species